ensembl:lncRNA
CUCCCGCGAAGGUGAGCACACACACCAACCUGACGACUCCGCUCUCUGCUUUCAGGCGGUCUUCACGGUGCAACUGCAGGCAGAGGAGCCCAUGAACAUUCUGGCAGAAUCUGGAUUGAGAACACGGGUGAGCUGGGAGGCCACCGAGGCGAUGAUCUGUGUGGCAGGGCAUCAGAAAGGAGGGAGCUACUCAGAGAAAAAGUUCCACAGCUGCUGAAUGAUCCCUUUGAGUCUAUCGACUGUCCAUCGGAGGACACGGAGCACGAGUGCUCUUUCCAGCCAUCCUAGUACUUCCUUUAGAGUUCUUGAAAGAUUCCCCAACCACCAUUGGCCUCAUUUGCCACUUCUGUACUUCCCUUCUGAAACGAAAUUCAGUUCUUUCAAAAAGAUUGAGUCCAGCGACUUCCCUGGAGGUGCACUGGAGGGGACACAGGUUUGACCUCUG